rnacentral:lncRNA from 1 species
CUGUAGUUGUCUUAAUAGAGCUAUUUUUCAGACGAUGUCCUUCAUCACAGAUCAGGAGGUUAAAUUCUAUAGCCUGAAUUUGAUCCAGAGAUCGUAGUAGCAUCUCAUAGCUGAUUAUCAUAACUGAAUAAAGUGGAGAACUGAUGAAUUCUUCUACUUUGUGGUCCUGAUCAACUGUAAAGACUUUGAUCCUUUCGCUUCCCAACCAUUUCUGAAAUUCUUU